CCAUCACUCGACUCACAACUUCACUGAGGAAAACUGACAGUGGGUGAAUGUAUGAUGGCGCCACCUCAGGACCCACAGUUGGAGAAGCUGGUUGAUGAGGUGCUUAAGAACAGCAAUUUUCAGGCAUUGGGUGACUUCUUGCAAGAUGAUGAGGGAACAACUUGGAGAUGUUCCAAACAAUUCCUCACCAAAUUGGACAAACUUGUUAGUAGGGAAUUAGAUCACAGAAAUGUCAAGCAUGCAUGUUUGGGACUCACGAUCCUGCACAAAUUUGGGAAAAACCUGGCUUUACCUGGAGGUCAAGGCUUAUCUGGGAUGGUACUCCAAGGUCUUGUCAAAAAGAUAAGUAUUUCAACCCUAUUAUACACCCAGUUGCCAGUAUAUUAG